UGAAAUGAACGAGCGCAGCAGCUCUCACCAGGUGUCUUACCGAGAGACCCCUGUCAGGGUGUUUAAGAGGAGGACCGGCUCUUGGAGUCAGAAUCUGUCCCGUACCGGGUCACAGGUGACCACCCCCUCCCUCUCCCGUACCGCAUCUCACGCGGCAGCACCCUGCCUCUCCUUCAGCUCUCUGACCACCGAUGCGUCUUUGAGAGGUGUGGCUUCUGCCCUGAAGGCGGCCACUCAGAGCCAGAGCUGCCAUGUUGGCCCCGCCUCCUGCUUCAGUGUGCCCUCUGUGUCUUGCUCCUCCCCCUACGGCAGCUGCAGUUCUGGGCGCCCCCU